AAUUAAUCAUGCACAAAUCUCAAUACUCAAUACAAAGAAAGCAAGCAAGAACUAUUUUAACAUAAGAAAAAAAAGCAGUCAAUGCCAGCUGCAAUUGGAAGGAUUCUAUUAGGAUUUCAAGCAAUAAAACAAUUGAAGCAAAAGGUGGCUUGGAAUAAAUUGCUCCUCAUGUCCCAAACAAGCCACUGAAAAUUAAGCUAUUAGCCUUAGCCCCCUGAACCAGCCUGAAUUCAUAAAUUAAACCUAAUAUCAGGCCACGAGUACCUAAUACCAGAUCACCAUCUUUACAUCUCAACUAAUGUUACAUAUAUACACAGCCAAAGCAGCCUCCAUCCAUAUUACUCCUAGACUUCCUUUUCUACAACAAUGAAAUUGGCCAUGAAAUUCUACAGAGGAAUUCUGCAUAUUGCCACUGACCAAGCAUGGUUUUGAAUAACCUGAGAUCCCUGUCAUUAUAAAAUUCCCAGAACACCAAUAAACCAUAUUCAUGGACAGAAUUCCACUUUCCGCAAGUUUUUCAAAAAACCAAAUUCAUGAGUUGCUUGAUGUUAAGGCACGAUGUGUUUGUCGUGCCGAACCAUUCACUGCCUCGUUUAUCCUACUAAAUACUAAUUUAAGAGGGACACAAACUAUAACGGGACCCCUGAGUUUCUCCACCACUGGUUUCCUUUCAUCUUUAUUACCCGUCAAUGAAGAUAGUUUCCGGAUCUUUUUAGACAAAAGCCCACAUUUCCUUUUUGGUGACUUACUUGGAGAAAAACGUAGUUGCAUUGUCAUAUGCUUGGCAGGAAUCCUUCCAGGUUCUGAAUUUCGCAUAGCUGCAUGGCCCAGUCCAGUACCUUCCAAAGCAGAUACAUGAGUUGGAUCACAUUCAUUGCUACCGAUAAGAUCACAGUAGCCAUCAUCCAGAACUUCAACUGUUAGAGGGCGACCAAUAAUGGCUUUACCAUUCAAUUUACUCAUAAGGGAAACCAAUGGAACAUUCUGUGGCUGAUAAUUUGCUCUGACCUCAACCUUAACAUCAUAAAGUUUAGAAUCAUUUAUAUUUCUGCCAGGAAAAUCUGACAUCUGAUAUCUGGAGUUUACUGUGAAGCGUGAUUGACGAUAGGGAAGUGACCUUUGAGGGGGCAAAGACACCUCUACCAUUCCUCCUCUGAUAUGAGAUUCCCUGAGAGAAAAAGGUUUGCUCCAAUCCUGAACUCCGUCUACCUCAUCAUCAGCAAUCUGUUUGGUUUUCACUUGCAAGUUGCAACUGUAUGAAGCAAGGGACCUCCUAGUGCCAUCACAAUCCACUUUCUGAUCAGAACCUGAAAAGAAUCCAUCCAAGUGCUCUAUACCUGCCAAAUAUGCAUCAGGUUCAUCAUCCAUAGCCAUAUAUUUUCUCUUGUCUUGUUUUCUAUUUUUAUUGAUAUGUCUUGAAUUCCUCUUUCCUUUCAACUGCCACUUUGAUGUGCCUUUCUCCAUCCUCUGGCUGAUAUUAUUCGCAUGAGUAGCCGCUGAACUGGCAGAAACAGAUUCAUUGAGUCCCUCGUUUUUCAGAGAUACAGCCUCUGCUUGACUACUUUGACUAGAUUGCCUCCCCAAUCCACCAACUUGAUGCUUUCCUGAGGAAGACACAACCAUAGGAGAAAAACCUGCUGAGUGUUUAUCCUCCCCAACAAAUGGCACAUCAAAUAACCUGUCUAAUGAAUCAUUCUCGGUAAAUCCUGAUACACCAGGAGCAUCAUUCUCUGUUCUCAACUUGUAAUCAAUGUGGGAAGCAUCGAAAGCAUGUUCGGAAGGAUUCAAAGAUGCACCAUUCUCACAUGAAACUCCAGUACUAUCUGAGUUAUUAUUAACUACAACACAAAUGCUUUUUCUAGACUCAUUAGAAUCUAUACCAGAAACCUUGCUGUCAGAAAAUCCAUUAAGAGGUGAGCCACUUGAAUUGGGAAGUCGAUCACAAAUAACUGGAACAGAUACCAUCGCUGUAUUCUCCAAUACCUUCGUCAAUGGUCGACAACGAUUUUUUCUUUUCAAGAGUUCAUGAACAUUUGCUACUUGUGAUCUCUUUCUUUUCAUGGACAAGUUAUAACCUUUGCUACCAUUUAUGGGACUGCCAUUUGACAAGCAAUUUCCAGCAUUUGAAUCUCCUACAACCAUUCCAAGAUCCUCAAGUCCUCUCAUGCGCUUUAUUCCUUCUGUUCCAUCAUCCUCUGAAUCAUUUGGGGUUUUUCUUCUCUUUCCCUGUACAGAUUGCACCUUAGAAGCACCAAAAUGAUUUGGCUCUUCGAAAGAUAUACCAGAUUGAGAUAAUUCUGGUGCUGAAUCUGAAUCUGACUUAUCUUUGGUUUUGGUAGCACCAGAAUCACUCUCUUCCUCUGUCAUACCCACAUCUUCUUUGCCAGAACCAGAAAUGCUAGCCAAUUCUUUGGCUGAACUACCAACCUCACCAACUGAAUUAUUGGUGCUAGAAAAGAAAUCAAUACAGUCCUUCCCCAGGCGAGCAUUCUCAAUUUCAAGGGCAUGAAGAAUGGCAUCUUCCCUCCGCGCAUAUUUCACUGCUUUCUUAUUACCAUUUGCUGCAUUUGCCUUGGCCUUCUCAAUACAUUCAUCAUAUUCCCCACAUCGAAAAGCUUUCACCCUCUUAGAUUUUUCAAGAUUAUACCAGUCCACGCUGGCAUCCUCUCGGCCGAGGAGUUUGACGGGAGUGCCUGAUCUUGGCGAAACCAAACUACCCUCCGAAAUUUCGUCAAGACCCAUAAUACGGCCUGGCCACCAUGAACCGUUUCGACGCCGGACCCAAACUAACCCGCCCACCGACGCAUCAAUAACCUUGGAGUUGUUGUUGGGGUCAUCAGAGCUACCCAUCUCAAAAACCCCAACUCAGUUUUCUAAAACAAAUUCAAAACAGAUAAAAAUGAACAUUAACAAAAAAAAGAAAAAUUGCUAUAUCACAGAGAGAGAUCUUUAAAAUUAAUGGUAUUUCUCUAUUUUGAAGUGAACACAAGUGCCAAAAAUCACUAUAAACCUCGCUUUCAUGGAGAAAUGUGUGUAAACCAUUUAUAACCUGAAACCUAAAACAAAAUAGCUAACAAAAUCAGCAGAGACACUAAACCCAAUCUCGCAUGCAGCACAAAAACCCUUAAAAGAAGUACGAAAAGAGAAAACGAACAGCAAAAGCGAGACCGCGAGAGACACCUAUAUAUUGAAGGGUCUUGUGAAGGUGAGAGAUCUGGGAGGAGGGGAAGAAAAGAAAGAUCUAAAGGGUUUUCCUUUAUCUCGUUGUUUAAUACCAUGGUUCUGGAAAGUGGAAAAUGUUAUCUUUCCCCUUUUUUUCUUUUCUUUUCCUUCUCUUUAGUGGGCGUUCCAAUUGUGGAUAUAAGUUUGGGAUUUUUUUUUAUAGCU
rnacentral:misc_RNA from 1 species